rnacentral:lncRNA from 1 species
AAUGUAUGGCCUGUAUUUCAUUGUAAUACAGUGCACUGUAUAUUUUUGUCAUGAUUCUGUUGGUAAUAUUUAUCAUAUUUUUAUUACAGGUCUAGGCCAGCAUACAGGUAAUCUCUGGCCCACUGGAAACACACUGGAGCUGGAAGAUGAAAGUUUAGAGAGCAGCAGCGACCUUACAGUUUCUGUGAGUGAAGAGGAUCAGAUAAUAAAUACAGUUGAGCUACGGCAGAGCCUAGGAGAUAUGGCUCGCAAUGCGGCCUUAAAAUCAAAGAACUCAGAACAAGAAAAAAACCAACAGUCUGUUGAAGAACAUUUUUCUUUGCAAAACAUGAGCCACCAUAGCAUUGAUGAAGACUCUUCAGCUGAUUCAGCAACAAGACACUUUUGUAAUCAAACUGACAAUUUGAAAGAGGAAGACCUUGAGGCAUGUGAAGCAGUUGUCCUUCAUCAGCUUCAGAGAUUGUUGCAGAACACAUUGAAUGGAUGCCUCUUACCUGAGAAAACACUUAAUGACAAAGGUAGAGAUACAGAUGAAAAGCAAGUCAGGUCUGACCUGCCACUGGAUUUUACCAUGUUACAGGAACGUUUGUGCAAACACG